AAAGGCAUUUUACAAUAAGGUAGUCAUAUUACAAUGAACAGUGUAAACAUGAAUUUUGUUUAUUUAUAUAUCUUUGGUGUAAACUUGCAGUGUGAGAACUUUACGUUAGUGACUAGUGAGUAAGUUUAGGUGAUGUCAUCUAAGUACGCAUUAAAAAUUACCCUCCUUUGUUCAAUUUUUAAAUUUAGCUGUAUUGCGCAAAAAGCAAAGGAUAUGUGUAUGGAUUACGAAGGAUAUUAAUGCCUGUUCUGCCUAUGGUCAUGAGCUCACUGUGGUGUCUAAUAGCAUUCCUGAGUAAAAGUUUUAUCAUGACCAGUGCCAUUUUGGUUCGCCAACAUGAAGCUCAAAUAGUUGCUACAUUUGAAUGUUCUUCUCACACUGACAUAACCAUCAACUUUAUUGACCUUUCGAACACACCACGAAUCAUAGCAGAUUGCGACGCGCAAGUUGGUUCAUGUCAUGUAUAUGACUCGAUUCUUGCAAAGUACUAUGCAGUGACAUACACGGACGAGGGAGCUUUCGUGUACAUAAAGAACUCAACGUACACAUUGGGAAAAUAUACAUGUUGUGAAACGUAUAAUAAAACAAAUUGUGACAGCACGGAUCUUGUAUCCUUUGCUGCAAAUGAUCCGAACAGAAGUUCUGUCCAUCGGCAACAAGCAGUCGGAAAUGGUUGAAACCGAUCAUCGUGGUAGGAGCGAUUGCAAGCAAUGUCAAUCUGUCGAUGAACCUCUAAGGAUGAUGAAAGGAAUCAUAAUAAGUUCAUUUAUUUCAAUACUUAUUUUAAUCCUUAUUUUAAUCGGCAUAUUCUUCAGACGACAGUUAUUAAAAGGUAAUGUACAGCGAAUCAUACGCACCAAGUCUCCGAAGUCAAUUGUGAACAUUGUGAACAUUAAUACAGAAUACACGGAUGAUACUGAGGGAGUGCCGAUGAUCACAGUGGAUAACACAUUUGCACAUGAAGACACUCUAUCCAUGAAAGAUGCACCAAAAGAGGUGGCACUGGUGACUGGGUUUACACCCUUAGGGGAAAAUAAUGGAACCUUGGACAGCGGAGAAAGUGGAUUCGGCAGUAAUGUUCAAGCAUGGUUUUACAGAAAUUGAUGAGAAACCGGCCUCUUUGGAUUUCAAGAAAGAAACCGUAUAGUGAUGCCUUUGGUAACUCGAUAUUAUCAAAGUAAGUCUCGUUAUGUUUAAACAACCAUAACGACGGUAUUUCCCACAAAUAUAUAGACACAUUUCAAAAGAACCAUAUAUAUUUAUUAAGCACUUAUAUAUGUAUAUAUAACGAACAAUCGUUUGGUGUAAAUUUGCAGGUAAUUCAACCAGCUUCGCUACAAAAUAGUUUUAUCUUUAUAAACAUGUUAACCGGAUUGGGCUCGCCUCUUUUUGGAUCUGAUCUCGACAUUUUUCAGGUUUGACCGCUUUGAAAAAGAUCAGUUUUAACCUCUGUCGGGUGUAACUCAAAACUUUAUGCUUAAGGGAGUGACGAUUACAAACAUUUUAUCUAGCAUUUGUAAUUGCACCCCUUCAUAUUUUGGUUUCGGAUGAUUAAGACUUUAACAAUAGUUAUGGUCUAUUUAAGCAAAAAAUGAAAAUCUCUGGCCGCGCAUGACUUAAAAAAGUUGCUGCUAAAACUUGAAAAACAUGGUUCACAUCAUCUGAUAUUCCAUUAAUUCACAUAUGUAUUUAUGUUUAAAUAAGCCGGAAGAGUUUUUUUCCCUUUUUAAAACAAAAUGCCAUUUUUGAAUUGAAUUCAAACGAAUUACUGCAUAAAAAAACAUUUUCAAACAUAGUAAUCUACAUGUCUAACUUGUGCAUCAUUUCAUAAGUUUCGUAGUUUUUUUUUACAAAACCAGAGGUUGUGUCCUAUUAAAUAACACCGGAAUUUUGUUUCCUAUUUAAGUAAAACGAAGAUAUAUUGUUACUCAUACAUGUAUUUUAAGAUUUUUGUUCGGUUAACCAACGCAAAAACAGUAACUUAAGUAGGCACUGUGAAAGGCAAUGAACACAACUCGUUGUGAACGCAAACCAACACAAAUGUAUUAUGUUUACUUAAUCUGUUUCAUAAUAUUACAUACUUCUAUGUAAUCAUAAUCAGAAUAUGAUUCAUUUUGUUUUGCCCAGGGUCCAAUUGAAAUGUUACUGAACGCUUUCGCAAAAAAUUUGAUAUACAAAACGUCAUAUAAAGUCAUAACUGACAGACCAAAAGAAGUGAGAAUAGUUUUUGCACACUAUAUUUGUUUCCACUUUUGAGAGAGAUUGUUUGUAGAUUUUAUAUAUGUGUUUUGAAGCCAAAUUUCUAAAAAACGAUAUUUUAAUUUACUGUUUAAAUAUUUAAUUAAAACUCUGUUCAGGUUCCUUAUAAUAGCAUGUCCAUUGGUAAAACUAUUUAAUGAAGCAUGUAUGCUGCUUAGCAGUACACGUUAAUAGUAUCCUAAUUUUCUGUCUGAACAUAUAUAAAAACGCGUGAUACAUGUGUUCAAAUUAUGGUAAUAUUAAUGGUAAUCGAUUACAUUAUAUGAAUUAUAUCAGGAUUGGUCGAUUGGAAUUAUUUAAGAUUAAAAUUUGACUCAUCGCUCAAUUCAUUAUUUGACAAUCUGCAUCUGUGGCCAGUCUUUAAAACACUCGGUUUUAUAUUCCAUAGGAACCAAAACAGUUAAUCCGCAGAAAUCCCAUAGUUAAACAAAGCUGAAACCACACUCAAACGUCAUGCCAAACUCGCUGCAGGCAAACGUUUUGUGGGACUUCACGAAGAAACCAUCUGUCCUAAACAAUCAUGGCUCACUUCAUGUAGGCGUUUAUAUUUUCUCUGAGACAAUUAAGACACAUCAUCCUGUCAAUCAGUCUUCAACUAUCAGGCCGUACCCGAUGUAGGCGUUUAUUUUGUUGGAAUCAAUGCAGCGAUAAUUUUCUGUUCGCCACGUUUCUUUAUUAAUUGCUGAAGGCAUUUAGGAUGUUAUAAUUGACGAAGAACCACCUUGUAGUUUGACUUGAACCCAAAACAGUUUGAAAACAUAUAACCCAGUACCCACGGCCAUUCGCAGCACACGUGUCUUAAAAUGUAACAAUAUAUAUCGUACAAUGGUCAUCAAAAAAUGUGUGAAACUGAAAUUCCGCAACGGCAAGUAUCCUUUUCCUUGUAGAUAUUAAUAUUUAAGAUAAAGUUAGCGAUAAAAUGCUUCUUUGGGAUACAUUAUUGAUCGUGUUUUUAUAUAAUGUUUCCACUUCUGUCAAGAUUUUUUUGUUGUUCAAAAUAGCCUUUCCCAUGAUUUUUUUUCUUAUCCAACACGACGUUAUUGUUUUUUUCAAUGAAAUUAUAUUCCAAUGGUGUUUUUUUCUGUAUUAAAAAAUGGUUGUUUUAUAUCUUAGAAAAUUUAGCGAAAGUUUUAACAUAAAUCCUUUUGCAAUUCUUAAAAUCCAUAACCUAGCAUAAAACACGUUGCUUUUCUUUUCCCACGAUCCCACGCAACGCUUUAAAAAAUAAACGAAAAACGAAACAUACCACUGGCAUACGAAAUAUCCCAUGGACAAGUGCAAUAAUCUAAUGGGAGGUAAACUUUGCUCAUAUAGUUCAAAGUGAAAAAAACAACAAUUGUUUAGCAAUAAUAAUAAUUAUUAAUUACAAGUAAGACUUUUAUCGCGAACUUCAUCUCACAUAGGAAACUCUUAAUGAAAAAGGAUACUUAAGUUUGCAUAAUUCCGGUUUCGUAAAGUUUGUUUGAUGGCCGAUAAGUUUACACAUAUGUUUGUGUUACAAAGCAGGGAAGAAAUCAUCGAGUUUCGACGAUUAUGAAAAUGAUGUGUAUUGGACAUGUAUAAUAAAUGGAUGAUUGCGCAAAAGAAACCAGAUAAAUGUACGGGCGGCGAAAUUACACGCAAUUACUUAAUAGGAAACAAAAACAGUUGGUGUAGUGUGUUUUAAAAUUCCACCACGUUUCAAAAUGUUAUCGAUGCAUCCGACUUAAAAAUACAUAAUUUAUAAUAGUAUUUGAAAAAUUGCGUGUUUAGCGGUUGAAAGACCCUUUUCUACUUUACAAAAUAGUCCUUAUGUUCUUGUAUUUUUAAUUUUGACGUGCGCAAUAACUGCACAUUCAUUCAAUUUACUAUACGUAAGUUUAACUUAUGAAAAUAGAUUAAGGUAAUACUUAGGCAAAGCGCGGGAUUGUUUAUUCAUAUAUAAAUUUAUGUGAAUGUUUAGGGAAUAGGAAAUUUCUUAGUAAAAAGUGAUCCGAAAGCACGGAAAUGUUUAUUCAUAUCUUCAUGUGAUUGUUAAGGUCAUAAGAAAUAACUUUGUAAACAGUGAUCCGAAAGCACGAAUUAAUUGUUUAUUCAUAUAUUUAAGUGAUUUGUUAGGUCAAGAGAAAUAACUUUGUAAACAGUGUUCCGAAAGCACGGAAUGGUUUAUUCAUAUAUUUGUAUGAUUGUUUAAGUCAUGAGAAAUAACUUUGUAAACAGUAAUCCAAAAGCACGAACUUGUUUUUUUCAUAUAUUCGUGUUGGAAUGUUAAGGUCAUUAUUAAUAUUUUUGUAAACAGUAAUCCGAAUUCACGAAAUUAUUUAUUCAUUUAGUCGUGUGUGAUUGUAAAAGUCAUGAGAAAUAACUUUGUAAACAGUAAUCCAAAAGCCAGGAAUUGUGUAUGUAUAUAUGUGUGUGUGUGUGUGUGAGUGUGAUUGUUAAGGUCAUAAGAAAAUACUUUGAAAAUAGUCAUCCGAAAGCACGGAAUCGUUUAUUCAUAUAGUUGUGGUAUUGUUAAGGUCAUGAGAUAUAACUUUGUAUACGGUGAUCCGAGAGCACGGAAUUGUGUAUUCGUAUAUGUGUGUAAAGGUUAAGGUCUUGAGAAAUAACUUUCUAAACAGUGAUCCGAAAGACGGUUUUUUUAUUUAUAUAUUUGUGUGAUUGUUAAGGUCAUGAGAAACUACUUUGUAUACGGUGAUCCGAAACUACAAAAUUGUUUAUUCAUAUAUUUGUGUGUGAUUGUUAAGGUCAUGGGCAAUAACUUUGUAUACGGUGAUCUAAGCACUGAAUUGUGUAUUAAUAUACAUGUAUUCGUGUAAUUGUUUAGGUCAUAAGAAAUAACUCUUUAAAUAGUGAUCCGAAAGCACGGAAUUGUUUAUUCAUAUAUUUGUAUGUAAUUGUGAAGGUCAUGAGAAAUAACUAUGUAAACAGUGAUCCGAAAGCACGAAAUUGUUUGUUCAUAUAGUUGUGUGUGAUUGUAAAGGUCAUUAAAAAUAAAUUUGUAAAUAGUGAUCCGAAAGAACGGAAUCGUUUAUUCAUAUAGUUGUGUGAUUGUUAAGGUUAUAAUAAAUAAUUCUGUAAACAGUGAUACGAAAGCAUGGAAUUGUGUCUUCAUAUAUUUGCGUGUGAUUGUGAAGAUUAUGAGAAAUACGAUUGUAAACAGUGAUUCGAAAGCACGAAAUUGUUAUUCAUAUAGUUGUGUCUUUGCUAUGGUCAUGAUAAUUAACUUUGUAAACAUUGAUCCGAAAGCACGAAAUUGUUUGUUCAUAUAGUUGUGUGUGAUUGUAAAGGUCAUCAGAAAUAACUUGUAAACGGUGAUCGGAAAGCACGGAUUCGUUUAUUCAUAUAGUUGUGUGAUUGUUAAGGUUAUGAUUUAUAACUUUGUAAACAGUGUAGGAAGGCACGUAAUUGUUUAUUCAUAUAUUUGUGUUUGAUUGUUAAGAUCAUAAGAAAUAACUUUGUAAACAGUGAUUCGAAAGCACGAAAUUGUUUAUUUAUAGAGUUGUGUGAUUGCUAUAUAGAGACAAUAUAUAUAAAGGAACCUG